rnacentral:rRNA from 1 species
UACAACACCAAAGGUGUUUUGAAUUUGAGAGAUAGAUAUUUUCAGCGAAGUUCCGAGAUUGGAUUGGCUGGCUGCGUGAUUAAUACAUGUAGCGGGUUAGUUUAGACAGAAUUUGCCUGGCGGCCAUAGCGCGGUGGACCCACCUGAACCCAUGCCGAACUCAGAAGUGAAACGCCGUAGCGCCGAUGGUAGUGUGGGGUCUCCCCAUGCGAGAGUAGGACACUGCCAGGCAUCAAA